rnacentral:tRNA from 1 species
GUCUCCUUCGUCUAGCGGCCUAGGACACCGCCCUCUCACGGCGGCAACACGGGUUCGAGUCCCGUAGGAGACGCCA